rnacentral:Y_RNA from 1 species
GACUGGCCUGAAGGCAGUGAGUUAUCUCUGUUGAUUGUUCACAGUUACAGAUUGAACUGCUUGUUCUACUGUUUCCCCCCUUCUUGCUACUGGACUAGUCAUAA